rnacentral:snRNA from 1 species
UUUCUCUCUUUCCAUUGCGU